UGGUGAGAGACGCGGGGUGACGGGGAAGUAGAGGCGAGAGGCUUAUUGCCUUCAAGAAAGAUGGAUGGGCCGGAAACUUCACAUAUCCCUCUUUACCCGCAAUAUGCAACGGCCGAAGAUUGGCCGGUACCCCGGAAAAAGAGAAAACACUGACCAGUUUGUGUGAACGCCAUCACCCACACUCCUGAAAUAUAUCUGGAAAGUGCCGGAAGUGAACUGGGGGAUCCUGGCCUCCCAAAACAUGGACGGGCUCUGAAAGCCCCACCGCGGCCUGCUGCCACCCGCACCUCUCGCUGCAGGAGCGGUGGAUCCACUGAUGGGCUUCCAGGGCGGACUUGCGCUUGAAGGCUUUCCCACACUCUGCGCAGGGGAAGGGCCGGCUGUCGGAGUGAAUGCGCUGGUGACUGAGGAGGAGAGAAGAGUAGGUGAAGCGGCGGCCGCAGUCUGGACAGGGGUAGGGCUUCUCGCCCGUGUGUGCGCGCCUGUGGAUGGCCAGCAGCGAGGUGUAGGCAAAACGGAGGCUGCAGUCGGGGCAGCUAUAGGGCUUCUCGCCGGUGUGCUUGCGCUGGUGGAUGGCCAGCAGGUAGGGGGACACAGAAGGCUGGGUAACUGCUCACAGGCGCAGAGCCAGGAUUUAACGGCAGCUCCUGGCCGGGCGCGGUGGCGCGCGCUGGUGGUCCCAAGCUAGUCGGGGGACUGAGGCAGGAGGAUCGCCUGAAUCCCGGAGGUGGAGACUGCAGUGAGUUGAGAUCGCGCCCCAGCACCUCAGGCUGGGCGACAGAGCUGGGCGCCCAUCUCUAAAAACAAAAAGUCAUUUUCUCGCUUCCAGGUUCGGUUAAGGGCUUAGUGUAGGGCCCUGCACAAAGUACUAUUAUAAUUAUGAGUUUAUAGUUGUUAUAUUAAUUUUUAAUACCAUCUGUGUCCUAUCUCAAUCAGAAAACCUGUGUUCAAAUUACAGCUGAUGGCCAGGCACUGUAACUCACGUCUGUAAUCCCACCCGCUUUGGAGGCCAAGGCGGGUGGAUCACGAGGUCAGGAGUUCGAGACCAGCCUGGCUAACAUGGUGAAAUCCUGUCUCUAACAAAGAUAUAAAAGAGUGGUGUGUGCCUGUAAUUCCAGCUACUCGAGAGGCUGAGGCAGGAGAAUUGUUUGAACCCAGGAGGCGGAGGUUGCAGUGAGCCAAGAUUGGGCCACUGCACUCCAGCCUGGGUGACAGGAAGAGACUCCGUCUCUAAAUAAAUAAAUAAGCAAGCAAGCUGAUAAGUGAGUAAUAAAACUGGGAAAUGAAUCAGAUAAUCUCUUAAGACUGUUUUUCUGACCUUUCCAAUCCAGUAUUCAUAGAAACAGAGGAGGAACAUUUUAGAUGUAUAACAAAAAGCUGUUCAUCCCCACUUUUAAUUUGGCUGGGCACAGACUCACGGCUGUAAUCCCAGCACUUUGGGAGGCUGAAGUGGGUGGAUCAUUUGAGGUCAGCAGUUCAAGAUCAGCCUGGCCAACAACUCUACUAAAAUACAAAGAUUGGCCAGGCGUGGUAGCACAUGCCUGUAAUUCCAGCUACUUGGAGGGCUGAGUCACAAGAAUCACUUAAAUUCAGGAGGCAGAGGUCGCAGUGAGCCCCAGUCACAUCAUUGCACUCCAGCCUGGGCGACAGAGUGAGAUUCGAUCUCAAACACACACACACACACACACACACACACACACACACACACACACAAUAUAUAUAUAUAUACAGAUGGCCAAUAAGGACAUGAAAAGAUGUUCAACAUCAUAAGUCUUUAGGAAAAUGCAAAUUAUACCCACCAAGAGCACUUAAAGCCCCUGAACUGAAUUUAAAAUGGCUGGGCUUGGUGACUCAGGCCUGUAAUCCCAGCACUUUGGGAGGCUGACGCAGGUGGAUCGCCUGAGGUCAGGAGUUGCAGACCAGCCUAGCCAACAAGGUGAAACCCCGUCUCUACUAGAAAUAAAAAAAUUUGGCUGGGAAUGGUGGCUCACCCUGUAAUCCCAGCACUUUGAGAGGCCAAGGCAGGUGGGUCACCUGAAGUCAGGAGUGCAAGACCAGCCUGGCCAACGUGGAGAAACCUCAUUUCUACGAAAAAUACACAAAUUAGCCAGGCAUAGUGGCACAUGCUUGUAAUCCCAGCUACUUGAAAGGCUGAGGUGGGAGAAUUGCUUGAACCUGGGAGGCGGAUAUUGCUGUGAGCUGAGAUCAUGCCGCUGCACUCCUGCCUGGGCGACAGUGAGACUCUGUCUCAAAAAAAUAAAUAAAAUAAAAAUACAAAAAUUUCAGUAGCUCGAGCCUGUAAUCCCAGCUACUGAGGAGGCUGAGGCAAGAGAAUCACUUGAACCCAGGAGGUGGAGGUCAGAGGUCGCAGUGAGCCAAGAUCAUGACAUUGCACUUCAGCCUGGGCAACAAGCGAAACUCCAUCUCAUUAAAAAAAAUUUUGUUAAAAUGAUAAAUUUUAUGUUAUUUAUAUUUUAUGUCAAUAAAAAAGCACUAUGAGAUAUCACUUUACAUUCAUGAUGGUUAACAACAAAAAAAAGCCAGAGAAAAAAGUGUUGAUGAGGAUGUGGAAAAAUUGGAACCCUUGUGCAUUGCUGGUGGGAAUGUAAAAUGGUGCAGCCACUGUGGAAAACAGUCCGUUCCUCAGUUAAACCUAGAUCUACCAUGUGAUCCAGUAAUUCUACUCAUAGGUACCCACAAAAAAAUGGAAAACAGAUUCAAACAGAUACUUAUAUACCAGUGUUCACUGUGGCAUCAUUCAUAAUAGUAAAAAGGAGAGAAAAACCCAUAUCCAUCAACUGAUGAAUGAAUGAACAAAAUGUGUUCUAUACAAUGCAAUAUUAAUAAGCCAUCAAAAGGAAUGAAAUUCUGCUGGGCCCAGUGGCUCACACCUGUAAUCCUAGCACUUUGAGAGCCCAAGGUGGGUGGAUCACUUGAAGUCAAGAGUUCGAGACCAGCCUGACCAACAUGAUGAAACCCUGUCUCUACUAAAAAUACAAAGAUUAGCCGAGCAUGGUGGCUCAUGCCUGUAAUUCCAGGCAUGAGAAUCGCUUGAACCCAGGAGAUGGAGGUUGCUCCAGCCUGGGAGACAGAGUGAGACUUCCUUUCCAAAAAAAAAAUAAAAAAGGAAUGAAAUUCUUAUACAUGCUACACCAUGGAUGAAUCUUGAAAACAUGUUAAAUCAGUGGUCCCCAACCUUUUUGGCACCAGGGACCAGUUUCAUGAAAGACAAUUUUUCCACAGACUGGGAUGAUUUUGGGAUGAAACUGUUCCGCUUUAGAUCAUAAGCAUCAGUUGGAUUCUCAUAAGGAGCGCACAACCUGGAUCCCUUGCAUGUGCAGUUCACAAUAGUUUCACAUUCCUAUGAAAAUCUAAUGCUGCCGCUGAUCCGACUGGAGCAGGAGCUCAGAUGCUAAUGCUUGCUCGCCUCCUGCUGAGUGGCCCAGUUCCUAACAAGCCAUGGACUAGUACUCGCCUGUGGCUGGAGAUUGGGGACUCCUGUGUUAAAUAAGCCAGACACAAAAGGACAAAUAUUAUGAUUUCUCUUAUAUGAAAUAUCUAGAAAAGGCAAAUUCAUAGAGACAGACAGUAGAAUAGAGGUUAUUUGUGAUGAGGGGAAGGUGGGUAUAAAGAGUUACUGUUUAGACUGGGUGCAGUGGCUCACUCCUAUAAUCCAAGCACUUUGGGAAGCUGAGGUAGGAGGAUUGCUUCAGACCAGGAGUUCAAGACCAACCUGGGCAACAUGGUAAGAUCCUGUCUAUAAAAUUUAAAAAUUUUCUGUGUAUGGUGACAUGCGCCUGUGGUCCCAGGUGCUCAGGAGGCUGAGGUGGGAGGACCACUUGAGCCCAGGAGGUUGAGGCUGCAGUGAGCUAUGUUCGUGCCCACUGCACUCUGGCCUGCAUGACAGAGCAAGACCCUCUAUCAAAAAAAAAAAAAAAAAAAAAGUCGGGAGGGAGGGAGCAAAAAAGUUUCUGCUUAAUAGACACAGACCUUCUGUUUGAGAUGAUGAAAAACUUCUGGAAAUAAUGAUGUUACACAACAGUGUGAAUGUACUUAAUGCUACUGAUACACUUAAAUAUGAUUAAAAAGUUAAAUUUUA